rnacentral:lncRNA from 1 species
GGUCUCAAAAGCAACCUUCAUCUGAGUCUUCUCGAGGACAAGCUGGUAAACAAUCUUCUUCCAAGCAACGAAAGGCUGAGGUAUGCUAGAAGAUGGAACCUCUUGCUCUCACUGUCUCUUCUUCACUCGGUCUUCAAGUAGCUCAAUAAGUGCAUCUUUAUCCUUAGACUCCAAUUGCAACUCCCCAUGCUUCUUGCUCAAAGCACGGAAACGCUCUUCCCACGUAUCCUUAUCUUGCUUCAUCUUGGCGAGCGCGUCUUCCAACUCC